UACGAAGGGGGCUAGCGUUGCUCGGAAUCACUGGGCGUAAAGGGUGCGUAGGCGGGUCUUUAAGUCAGAGGUGAAAUCCUGGAGCUCAACUCCAGAACUGCCUUUGAUACUGAGGAUCUUGAGUUCGGGAGAGGUGAGUGGAACUGCGAGUGUAGAGGUGAAAUUCGUAGAUAUUCGCAAGAACACCAGUGGCGAAGGCGGCUCACUGGCCCGAUACUGACGCUGAGGCACGAAGGUCAGGGGAGCAAACGGG
rnacentral:rRNA from 1 species